rnacentral:rRNA from 1 species
UACGUAGGGUGCGAGCGUUGUCCGGAAUUAUUGGGCGUAAAGAGCCCGUAGGCGGUCUGUCGCGUCGAUCGUGAAAACUUGGGGCUUAACCCUGAGCUUGCGGUCGAUACGGGCAUGACUGGAGUUCGGCAGGGGAGACUGGAAUUCCUGGUGUAGCGGUGAAAUGCGCAGAUAUCAGGAGGAACACCGGUGGCGAAGGCGGGUCUCUGGGCCGAUACUGACGCUGAGGAGCGAAAGCGUGGGGAGCGAACAGG